rnacentral:lncRNA from 1 species
CAUUUUCUUGAAACUCCAUUAUUUUAUGUAUACACACAAAAUGUAUGUAUAUAUGCAACUACAAAUCUCUCUCUCUCUGUAUCUCUCUCUGAAGAAAGAGAUGAAAACAUACAGAUACGAAGAAGGUGAUUAUAUACGCACAAAAAUCUUGCAAAAUCUUUCUCGUCUGUUUCUUUUUUUCACCCUUUUUUAUUACGUGUAUAUAUAAUUAGAUAUAAAUUUGCAGGAGAAAAUUAAAAGAAAAAAUUGGGAAGAAAGAAAAAAGACAACCUUGGCGGACUGGUGUUGAAAAUUCAAGCACUUGUAAUUGUUGUCCCGUGGUUGGUACGUUUUGGAUCUCAUUAAGGAAAGACACUGCGUAUGGUGAGUGGGUCCACGGUUUUUUUUGUCCUAGGAAGCAACCUUUCUUAAAAAUAAGAUAGAGUAACACUUUAUCUUUUUAACCAUUUUUUGCUCACUUAUAAUAUUCAUUAAUUUAAUAAUUUUAUAACUUUUUAAUAUACUUAAAAUGUUGGGAAAAAAUAUUUAUCCAUAAUAAAUCAUAAUUUCCAUUAAAUAAAAAAUUAAAUAUGAAACUUUGUUUUUUUAAUCAAAACUGGUAUUGUGCUAAACUCUUAUCUGUUUACGUCUUAUUUUUUAUCUUUGACUCAUACUUGUUUAGUAGUAUUGUUAUAUUGUUCGAGAAAUUAUUUAUUAUAGUCAGCUCUUUGUUGAUCUUCUUGUGUAGUUUUGAUAAAUUGUUCUUAAAAUCAUAUGUUUACUUUUUAUCCCUCUUACACAUUCAUAUUUUGAUAUUAACAAAAUUUUGUGUAACAAUUAUUAGAAGAAUGAAAAAAAAUGUCGAUGAGCAUGAUAUGAUAUGGAGUGAUUUAUGUUCAAUGCCUUGACCAUUUAUAUGUUUCGAAGAUUUUAGUGUUCUAGUGAAAGUUAAAGAUUAUGUUCUGUGUAAUAUUUUUGGUUGAUUCAUAUUUGUAUUGGACGUUUUAUAUGUGAUAUCAACUUUUAUUACGGUAUCUUCACAUCGUGUUUUUAAUUUAUUUUUUUAUAUGUAUUUGUAUGCUACAGUUUUAUACAUGUGACACAAAUUUCUAUUAAAUUAUAUUUAUAAAUAUGUUUUAUAUUAUAACUAUGAUAUCUAAUAUAUUUAUUUGUUUUUCCAUGAUUUUAGAAUUAAUAUGGGUAAUCAUGAUUAUCUUGGAUUAAUAAAAAUAAUUAUACAUGUAAGUAGAAUGCACAAACACGUGUACGACCUUAGUGAGGAGGUAUGAGGUCCGGGUUUUCAUUUAUAAUUAUACAUAUGAUUUUUUUUUUUUGAGUUUUUAUAAAUUACCUUUCCGUUUUUUCCAGCUUACCCAAGUUAAAUUUUUUUCCAUAUGUAUCAAUCAAGUAAUAGUUUCUUAUAAAAUAUAUCUUUUUUUAUUUAUUGUGUCUUAUUAAUAUUUUGAAUAAUAUUAUUUUUAUUUAAUAUGUUCUUUAAGAACAUAUAUUAGAUAAAAUUAAUUUUAUAAUGAUGUGAUUUACAUGCUUCCAGAAUUAAAAUUGAUUAAUAAUAUCUGAUUUGAAUUUAAAAAAGAAAUCACAUAUAUGUGAAAGUCAGAAUAUAUUUUGAAUUAAAAAAAGGAAUUAUGCAAGUAGAUACCAAUUGACUUAUAUUUUCUUUUUUCUAAUCUAAGAGUGCUUAUUUAUCCUGAUACAACGGAUGAUAACGAGACCAUUCAACCAAAUUAUCUUCCUUACGCUUAUUGUAUACAAGUAUAUAAUAUUUUUUAUGUUUUAUCUUAUUGUAGUUCUUAUUUUAUGUAUGUAGAUAAUUUUUUUUCUUAUAAUUUAUUAGGGUUUUGGCUUCAAAUAUUACUAUUUAGUAGAAAAAGGUCUCUAUUAUCAUUUUCUGAAAAAAUAGUCCAUAAUGUUAAUUGAAACUGCAAUUCCAUGUCUUCACAAUGUGGGACAAAAACACAAUUUUAAAUUGUGGUUUCAGUUAAAAACGUAAUUUCAAGUCGUGUUUUUUUCAUAAAAUUAAAACGCAGCACGAAGUUGCGUUUUGAAGUGAUAGUUAGGAUAUUUUUUCAGAAAAUGACAUUGAAAUUCAUUUUUUUAAAAAUAAUAACUUUUUUACAUUGGUUCACUUAGUUUGCAGGUUAU